UUCACGUCUCUGCCUUCUCUCUCUCUCCCGUAUUCCUCUCUCUCGAACGCACUCAAAGAACAGAAGCCAUGGGAGUAUCUGGGUGAAGCUCAAGUCCGAAAUUCAAGCCCUAGUUUCAGUCCGAUUUCGUUUUCGAGUUCGAAUUAAGGUCAAUUUGGGAAGUAACGGUCCAAAGGAAGGAGGGGACGCGUGCCUACUAACUUAAGGACGUAAUGAGGUUGAGCUGAUGUGGUGAUGGUGCUGCAAUGAGCGGAGUCUCCAGGGUUGUUAAUAAAUGAAGUUAACCUGCCUAGAAUAUGUCUUCAUACAUAUGUCUAGCUACUUUCCGCUGCAAAAUAGUUAUGAUGUUAUAGUAUGUUAUGUCAUACUUUGAGUCUUAAGAGAAUGAUUUCAUAUGAUGUACAAUUGGAUUAAUGAUGUUUAUUAAGUUUUUAUGUUGUCUUUCAUAGAAUGUUUAAAUGAGUAUUAAUGAGAAAUUAUGACAAGUUUUUCUUAA